UUCAUGGCCGGGCGCGGUGGCUCAUGCCUGUUAUCCCAGCACUUUGGGAGGCCGAGGUGGUUGGGUCGCUUGACCCUAGGAGUUCAAGACCAGCCUGAGCAACAUGGCAAAACCCCAUUUCUACAAAAAAAUAGUAAAGUGAGCCAAGCGUGGUGGUGAGGGCCUGUAGUCCCAGCUACUUAUAAAGGAAGUGGGAGGAUGCCUUUAGCCAAGAUCGCGCCACUGCACUCCAGCCUGGGCAACAGAGCAGACUCUUACUUGAAAGAAAGGUUCAUAUUUUACUCAAAAUAGUGUACUUGUGUACCUACAGUAACAUUUUUCUACUUAAUGUUAUUAGCAUUGUCACCCUUAAUACUGCAAUUUAACAAUCUGCUUUGUGCCUGUUGUUCCUCAGUCAUCUUCGAAAUGUCUUUUACAGCUGAUAUGUUCAAACCUGACUCAGUCGAGGGUCUCUGCUCAUUAUUUAUUAUUUACAAGUUGGCUUUGUUUCUUCUCUCUUCUCUCAAUAAGUUCUUCCAGGGGAUUUGUGUCCUGGCAGCUUUCUCUGUUUAUGGGUUAUGUGCAGGUGUAGCCAGUGCUAAAGAAACCUGCAAACAGUGGGGGAUGAACACCGGGGACAUCUCCAUGUAGUGCAUUUGGGGUCCUACCCAUCCCAUGAGGACAGUCCCCCGAGGACCUGUGACACUGGGGAGGUUGGGGCAUCUUGGUGUCUCCAUGAGCAAAACUGGUCAUUCCUACCUUCUGGAUGAGUUUUGCGUUUCCUACUCUUUUUUUGAGACAAGUCUUGCUCUGUCGCCCAGGUUGGAGUGCAGUGGCACGACUUGGCUCACUGCAACCUCUGCCUCCUGGGUUCAAGCAGUUCUCCUGCCUCAGCCUCCCGAGUAGCUGAGAUUACAGGCAUGCUCCACCACGCCUGGCUAAUUUUGUAUUUUCAGUAGAGACAGGAUUUCACCAUAUUGGCCAGGCUGGUCUCGAACUCCUGACUUGGUGGUCUGCCCACCUCAGCUUCCCAAAGUGCUGAGGUUACAGGCGUGAGCCACCGUGCCCGGCCGCGUUUCUUGCUCUUUAAGCUCUGCUAGCUUGGCCUCUGUCACUAAAGGUGCAGCUUCAAGCUUAGGACCACCCACCAUGCCCAUCCAGGUGCUGAAGGGCCUGACCAUCACUCAUUAAGAACAGAGGAGGCUGCCUGUUACUCCUGGUGACGCAUCCCUCCAGACUCUCUGCUGUUUCCUGCCUAGGCGUGGCUGCAGCCAUGGCUAGGAAAGUGCUGCCACCCACCCACCUGGGCCGGAGCUGGUUCUGCUCCUGCUGCAGGGACACUGAGCUGGCUAUCUCGGCGCUUCGGGCAAGAACCGCAACAGGCUCUCCUGGGUCCUGCAGGUUUACAGCCGGGCCCCUGCCUUGUGCCUCAGCUCUUGAGAGCUGCUGCUGCCGGGUGACCUGAUCCAACCUGAUAAGGUGCCAUCUUCAGCUACCACUGCAAGGCCCUGAGGGCAACAGCAGCAUGGCACUGCCCACCCAGCUGCUGAUGGCCUGGUGCCAGCUGGGAGUCCUCCCGGCACUUCGAGGCCACUGAGCCACUCUUCCAGCCCGGCCCACCAUGGACAGGGGUAUCCAGCUUCCUCCUCAACCUCGUCCUCUGCCCCUGAGCCAGUGACACCCAAGGACAUGCCUGUUACCCAGGUCCUGUACCAGCACUAGCUGGUCAAGGGCAUGACAGUGCUGGAGGCCGUCUUGGAGAUCCAGGCCAUCACUGACAGCAGGCUGCUCUCCAUGGUGCCAGGGCCUGCCAGGCCACCAGGCUCAUGCUGGGACCCAACCCAGUGCACAAGGACUUGGCUGCUGAGCCACACACCCAGGAGAAGGUGGAUAAGUGGGCUACCAAGGGCUUCCUGCAGGCUAGGGGAGGAGCCACCCCCGCUUCCCUGUUGUGACCAGGCCUAUGGGGAGGAGCUGUCCAUAUGCCACCAUGAGACCUGGGCCUGGCUUUCAAGGACAGACACCGCCUGGCCUGGUGCUCCAGAGGUGAAGCAGGCCAGAAUCCUGGGGGAGCUGCUCCUGGUUUGAGCUGCAGUCAGGAAGUGCGGGACACGGUAGGGGAGGCAAAAAGCCUCGGGCACUACCCUCCCUGUGGAGCUGUUCAGUGUCCGUCGAGCUAGCCACACCCUGACACCAUGUUCAAGGGUACCGGAAGAGAAGGGUGUCUGCCCCCAACCUCCCCCGUGGGUGUCACUGGCCAGAUGUCAUGAGGGAAGCAGGCCUUGUGAGUGGACACUGACCAUGAGUCCCUGGGGGGAGUGAUCCCCCAGGCAUCGUGUGCCAUGUUGCAUUUCUGCCCAGGCAGCAGGGUGGGUGGGUACCAUGGGUGCCCACCCACCCACCACAUGGGGCCCCAAAGCACUGCAGGGCAACCCCACACCCUUGACAUAAAAGCAUCUUGAAGCUUUUACUCCGUUUUUAUAAGGAUUGGUUUGUUUUGUGUUUUUGAGACUGUUUUGCUCUUGAUGCCCAGGCUGGAGUGCAAUGGCGCAAUCUCAGCUCACUGUAACCGCCACCUCCUGGGUCCAGGUGAUUCUCCUGCCUCAGCCUCCCGAGUAGCUGGGAUUACAGGCACCUGCCACCACGCCUGGCUAGUUUUGUAUUUUCAGUAGAGAUGAGGUUUCACCAUUGUUGGCCAUGCUGGUCUCGAACUUAUGACCUCAGGUGAUCCGCCCACCUCGGCCUCCCACAGUGCUGGGAUUACAGGUGUGAGCCACCAUGCCUGGCCUGUCACGGGUUUUCUCUUAAGGUCUCUGUUGCUAUGCCUUCUCUGAAAGCGUGCAUUGGCUGUGUGCUGUGGGCAGCCAGUCCCUUCUGAUGGGUCUGCUUUUGCUGUGUGUGGCUUCUGUGUGGUCUGGGUUUAGGGUGUGCUGGGGCCGGAAUCUCAGGUGACAGCUCUGUGAGGACUCACUGAGCCCUAGCAGUUCUGACCUCACAGCUGAGGCCUUGGGCACAGGGGCCCCUGUUAAAGAGCGGACAGAACACUCCAAACUCUGGUGCUUCAUCCUCUGUGGGUUCAGCUGCUGAGCUGCGUCCAGGGGGAUCCACCCAGGCCUCUGCCCACUAGCAGGCCCCCAGCUCUGAACGGGCCCUUCCAGGAGGCUGCUGGGAAAGGGUGGGCUCUUGCCACCAGGUGGGAGUUGAUCACAGCCACAGGUAACCCCACCUGACACUUGGGGUCUCCAUGAGCCUGCAAGGAAGCCAGGCUCCCUCCCAGGGCCAGAAAGUGUGAGGGGCGUUCAUUCCUCAGCCUUCCCAGGGUCAUGGCUCCUGGCAUCCAUCUGGGGUGGCCCAUGACCACUCAGCUCCUCUAGGGAAUGCCGGGUAGGGCAGUGAGGCAGGUCUGGGGACUCCCCAGGGAUGAGACUGCAUGAGAGGCUGCCCUCAGCACCCUGGGAAGAAAUGGGCUAGGGCAGUAUGCAGGUGGCCCUUGUGUGGAGGAAGGGUUGUCCCAGCUUCCACUCCCUGGCGUUUCUGGACCCUGUGCCUUUUUUAGGUCCUGGGUCACUGGGAGUGGCUUUGAACCUUCCUCCGACUGCCCCAUCUAAUGGGGGACAAGUGGCUGUUACUAAGUGUCCACUGUACCAGGGCUCCCUACGGGUUCCCUUGUUAGACAGUGCCACACAGCCAUGGGUGUGGGGCAAGGCCUGGGAGGGGCAGGCGCUCUGCUCUAGGCCACACUAUGGCGGCCUCCCCUUGGGGGCCAGGGGCUCAAACGGCACCCGUGCAGGUGCUCCACGGCGCCUGCUGCUGCAUGAGUCUGGGCGGAGUAGCUCUCAUCAGCAUCUGAUAAAUGAUUGCAGUGGUGGAUGUGUGGCCCAUGUGAUGGUUGGGAGCUGAACACUCCAUUUUAUUUAACCUAAAUUUAAAUAGCCACACAUGGUCAUGGCUACUGUAUUGGCCAGCGCCUCCACAUCACUUGCAGCAGUUACAGUGCACAGCCGAGAGUGUCAUUGGUUUUCCCUGCUCUCUGCCUGUCCCCAGGAAGUUAAUUUUGGGAGUUGUGGAGUCCACUGGGUUAGAGUUGUGGUUCUGCCAAGUGAGACACAUCAGGGCCUAUCACUUGCCCAGAGGCGCACAGCCUCGGAAACCAGGCUUUGAAUCGUGCACCUUUCUCAGGUCUGCUGCCAGAUCCCCCCGACUCUACCCAAGUUCAUGGUUGCAUUGAGAGCUAUGGAGGUCACCAAAUAACCAGACUUGAGGGUCCAACUCCUGUGAGCCUGGUCUCCACAGAGCACAUGGUCCACAUCGAGGCUCUGAGUAAGGUCUUGUCACAAGCUGCAAGUGGAGGUACGUACAGGGUCCACCAUGUCCUCAGCCAGCCUACCUACUUCCAAUGCUUAUAUGGAAAGGUGCAUAAACAUACCACCUGGGUGUGGUGGCUCACACCUGUAAUCCCAGUGCUUUGGGAGGCCAUGGCAGGAGGAUUGCUUGAGGCCAGGAAUUUGAGACCAGCCUGGCCAACAUACCAAGAAAACAAAAUUAACGAGGCAUUGUGCACGCCUGUAGAAGCUGAAACAGGAGGGUCACUUGAGACAGGAGUUCAAAGCUGCAGUGAGCUAUGCUCAUGCCACUACUCCAGCCUGGGCCACAAAGACCUUGUCUCUACAAGAAAAGUGCCAUGCAGGCAUGCCUGCUUGUUCAGACAUGGGCACAUUUGUGCUUGAAUGUAUGUCACAGACAUGUUUUUUACCAGCAUGUAUGUACAGACCACCUGUGCACGUGUCUAAGUGCAGAAACUGUUCACACAUGUGACACGCAUGCAUGCACACUCAUGCCACCAUCACACAGACGCACACAUGCACACACAAACUGGUUUCCAGGCUGGAGACUCCACACAGCCCUCGCUCCCCAUGCACACAGGCGCACAGUAAGUCACAGAAGCCAGAGCAGCUACUGAGCAUACAUGUUGGGGUCCAGUGUCAGCUGGGGGUAGGGAAGCCCUGGUUUCUGGCUCACACGGGGCCCCCCAAGGCCCGCAGGCACCCUGGUCUCCAGGCCAGCAGGCCCAGCCCCAAGCUGAGUGCCACCAGCACAGCUACAGCUCCGGCCAGCAGGGGCACCACUGGAGCUGCAGGGAGAACGCGGGGGGUGAGUGCCAGGACUUGGUGACCCUCCACUCCCACCCCAACACAGAGGACUGUCACCUGGGGGGGUGGCAGCCUCAUAGGGGCCAUGGCAGGAGACCCCAUGGGCGGGAGGCCGGGCCGGGGCAGUCAGCUGGUAGAAGCGGCCUAGUGGACAGGGGGCCGGGCACCCGGGGAGGCUGAGAGGCAGGGGCAGGUGGGCGGAGUCAUUGCGGUAGAAGAGGGAGACGGUGACAUUCCUGGAGAGAGAGGACAUGGUGGCACCUCCUCCCUCCUGUCAUUGAUCUUAAAGCCUGGAGAAAAGGGCUUCUGACUCCCACCUGUCAUCCUCCCAGCACCAUCCCAUGCAGCUCCCUGCCUGGCCAUGCCCUCUGCCUGACACAUCACCCCUUGCUUUGAGAGUUCUGUCCCGCCCAUGUCCCUGGGCACCAAACCAUUCUCACCCUCCAUCUUUGGCGGGAUUCCCCAGGUGCUUCCGGAACUCAAAGCCGAGGCAGGCAGCAUAUGGCGGGGUGUGUCCAUCAUAGAGGCCCAGGGCCCCCUGGAGGGCCAGCAGGGUGCUGUCAUGCUGCAGGUGGACCCGAGGGCUGAGACGGCACUUCUCUCUGGAGGCCUUUCUCCUGAACACUAGACUUGCGCAUCCAGAUGUCCCCCAGGCUUCUUAGAACCAACCCCCCAAAGCUACUCCUUCCUCCCAUCCUGAAGGCAGUACCAACACUUGCAGGCGGCCACUUAAUAAAGGUUGCUCAAGUAGGUGCAAAAUAUGAUUGGACUAAGCAGCCUUUCUCCUCCGGAAGGACAGACUGCUUAGUCCAAUCGUAGUUUCUUAAAGAAAACGAGUAAGGAAUUAUAUUUAUUCAUAAAUUCUUCCUCCCAUAACACCGUCACCUCCCUCUUUCCAGACUAAUGGUAGAGCCUGAGAGUAGGGUUUGGAGAUACGGGUUACCCUAGGCAGUGGGCUGAGAUCCACUGGGACCACAGGCUCUUCCUCACCUAAAUCGCUGUCACCCUCAUCCCUGUGCCUCAGUGCCACGUGGCACUGCUUCCCAAGGACUCACAGCUGAGUACAUGACCAUCUUGAGGGGCAGCCCCAGGCGCUGGACCCGGGAGAAGUUUGCAAGGAUAGCAUUCAGCAGGAUCCCUGAGGAUGGGAAAAAAGAGCUUAGACUCUCCCAGAGGAAGGCACCCCAGCCUCCCGGACCCACACCUCACCCCCUGUCAGCUGGGCCUUCUCUGCUGCCCGGGGUGGGCCCACGUGGGCUCCAAUAUCCAAAGCCGAGAUCUGGGCAAGAGUCCGCAGGACAUCUGGGGAGGCCCAGGCUGGUAGUGGAAGACCGUGGGCUUGCUGUGGGGAGACAGGACAGAUGGACCAUCCUGAGCCCUCGAGUUUGCCUCUGGCCCCGCAGGCCUGUGCUGCCCCCUGCUCUUCUGAGUCCCCCCAUGGGCCGGAUCUGGAUCUGGCUGGGAAAUCAUGAUGUGGAUAACAGUGGUUUUUUGUUGUUGUUUUUUGUUUUGAAACGGAGCCUUGCUCCAUCACCCAGGCUGGAGUGCAGUAGCGCAAUCUUGGCUCUCUGCAACCCUUGCCUCCCGGGUUCAGGUGAUUCUCCUGCCUCAGCCUCCCAAGUAGCUGUGAUUACAAGUGCGUGCCACCAUUCCUGGCUAAUUUUUUUUUUAUUUUUAGUAGAGACGGGGUUUUACCGUGUUGGUCAGACUGGUCUGAAACUCCUGACCUCAGGUGAUCUGCCCACCUCAGCCUCUCAAAGUGGUGGGAUUACAGGUGUGAGCCACCACGCCCAGCCAACAGCGAUUAUUAGUUAAUAGUAGACAUCGUCAUUACACAGCCCAGAAGGCUUUAUCUGAAACCCCUGGGGCCAGAGGUAUUUCACAGCUCAGACAUUCUGGACUUUAGAAAGGUCUGAUGGUGCUGACACCACACAGCAUGGAACACACACAGCAAGGGCCGGGGUAGCCCCCUUAGUCACACACAUCACUGCUCCCACCCUGCGAUUCAGAACAUUCCCGUGAGCUGGAGUGAGCAAAGACUAGCAAGAGUACUAGCUGGGUAUGGUGGCUCACGCCUGUAAUCCCAGCGCUUGGGGAGGCGAAAGGAUUGUUUGAGCCCAGGAGUUCCUGGGCAACAUAGUGAGACCCCAUCUCUGCAAAAAAUUAAUUUUUUUUAAUUAGCCAGGCAUGAUGGUGUGCCCCUGCCUGCCUCAGCUACUUGGGAGGCUGAGGCAGGAGAAUUCCUAUAGCCAGGGAGAUGGAAGCUGCAGUGAGCUAUGAUAAUGCCAUUGCACUCCAGCCUGGGUGACAGAGUGAGAUCCUGUCUCCAAAAAAAAAAAAAAAAAAAAAAAAAGGCAUUGCAUCAUUUCAGGUCAGCUCCCGCUGCCCAGGUUUUGGGUUUUCUGAUUAUAGGACUGUGGGGAGGAGUUGCCAAAUGUGUAGCCUCAAACCCUGGCGAGGCCCUCACUGUACACCAGGCACUAUUGUAAGCACAGUGCGUGGAUUAACCCAUUUGAAUCCUCACAGCGUCCUGGGGAGGUGUUGAUACCGGUGUUGCCAUCCCCACUGUGCAGAUGGGAAAACUGAGGCACAGAGGAUUAACUACAUGCCUGAGGGAACACAGCUAGUGAGUAGCAAGCUGGGAUUGGAAACAGGUGUCCUUAAACCCUUGGCUGGGAAGGGGCAGGGCUCACCUGGCACAUGAGGGUGUCCAGAACCUUCCAUGCCCUGCGCAGUGGCUCUCCAACCAGCGACAGUCCCGUGAAGUUCUCCAGGCGACUCAGGAAGCCCUGGAUGCGCGGGGCUGGGUGAGCCCAGGCCCAUCCCCUGCGUCCCGCCCCCCACCGCCGCCCUGCUCACCGUCCAGCCCUCCAGGGCCUCCUGGUACUCGGCGGCCUCGGUGGCCUCCCGCAGCAGCUCGUGGUAUCGGGGACAGCUGCGCAUGGGGAACCUCAGCAGCUGGGGAAAACUGAGUCUCAGAGAGGACAGCCGUGUGCCUUGCCUUGGGUCUCACAGCGGGUCGGAGGAACCCGGGCUCUCGGUCCCUGCGUCUUUGUCGCAGUUUCUCCCAGAUCCAGGAGAGCAGCGUGGGCCGGGGCUCACCCUGGUCUGGACAGACCAGCUCGAGGACAGCCUUGCUUCUCGGAGCCAGCUCAGGCGGCCAGACCCAGAGCUGCCUCUCUCUCCACCCGCUCUCUCCCUCGCCACACCUGGGUCCAGCCCCCUGACCUUAUCCUCAGCCACAGGCACCGUGUGCACCGGGAUCGGCCUCCAGUGGGCCUCGGGGCUCCCUGGAGCAGCCUCGGGAAACAGCCCGGCGAGGUUGGCCUGGGCGCUCUCCAGCGUGCGGUCAAAGUCCGUGCUGCGGAUGUACACCUGGAGCGGGGUGGAGAGAGGGCACGCAAGGGGUCGUGGUUGGGGACAGAGGUCAGCUGUCGUGGCAAAUCAGAAGCCUUAGAUUCACUUUGGAGUAGGGGUCAGACACUGAGAAUCAUGUGGCCUUCGAAGUUGGAAGUUGGGAUCAAGGGUCCAGAGGCUAAUGUCAGGAGCAGUUGGGCUGGACGUCCUAAGCUGGACAGCCAUGUUGGAUUUAGGGGGUCAAUUGAGUCAAUGAGGGUCAAAAAGGAAGAUCAGAAUCAGUAGAGGCUGGAGGUUAGAGGUCAAGUUUAGGAGGGCAACUUGGAGGACUUGGAGUCAGAGUUCAAUACAUGUUCUUCAGAGGUCAGGAGGACUGUCUGUAGCUGGGGGAUGUCAGAAGACAUAGGAGGAGACAGAAAAGGUAGGUCAGAAUUGAUAAAGUGUAGAGGUUAAAGGUUAGAGGUCAAGAGGGCAAGUUACGUCAACAAGGGUCAAAGAUCGAAAUCAAGUUUGGGGUCAAAUGUCAGAGGCCAGAGGUCUGAUUGGAGUCAAUGGGACUUAGAAAACAGAGAUGGAGGCCAGAAAAUAAAGUCAGAGUUGAUGGAGGUCAGAGGUCGAGAUGUGACAGGUUGAGAUGGGGUCAGAAGUCAGUGUGGGUUAGUCAGUGUAUCGGGGGUCAGAGAUUAGAGGUAGAGGGCAAGUCAGGUUGAUGGAGGUCAAAGGCCAGAGGUAGAGGCCCAAAGAGAGCGUUGUAGUCAGUGGAGGUCACAGGUGGGAGGUCAGGGGGCCAGGUGGGGGUCACUAUGGCCCUACCUCCUCCCGCCGGUACUCCGGACUCAGGAAGGCCUCGUAGCGGCUCCUCAGGAAGCGGCCCAGCUCCAGCUGCUGGCGGACCCCCUCCUGGGGGCAGAACAGCCUCAGCCUACCCCUCCCCACCCCUCCCACCCUUGCCCUCACCGCCUACCCGCUUCUCACCGUGGUCAGCUGGCCCAGGCCUCGUGGCCACAGGGUGGAGGCCACCUCCUUGUGUGGGUCCAUGGGGUAGGAGGCCAGCGGGGCCCGGUCGCCAUGGCGGAAUACCUGGGGACAGGACUGGUCAGGGCUAGCCCUGGGGGAGCUAAGGGCAGGCCGGGGUGGGGGCGCCUCACCAGAGCCACGAACACCAGGGGUCCUUCUGGCAGGGCCUGGGGUGGCAGCACCAGCAGCAGCAGCAGCAGGAGAGGUCCAGCAGGGUGGCCCCAAAACCCCAGGCCGGCCAUUUCCACCCAGCCCAGACGCUGAGCUCAGCCCACUGUCUGGGCCGCAGCCCCGCCUGUCCCAGCCCUGCACUCAGCACCCCCAUUAUAGCAGGCCCUGGCACGCUCCCCCAGGGGCCACAGAUCCCAUUCCCCAGCGCCUCUGCCAGCCUUGGAUUAACCCGUUUCAUCUUCGUUUCAUCUUCAUCGCUGCCCCAGGAGACACUGAUGUGCUUACCACCAUCCCAUUGUACCGAUGGGGAAACUGAGGCACAGAAGGGUUCCCUAACUGGCCUGAGAAAACACUGAGAUUUCUCAAAGCUGCGAUUUGAACCCAGGUGCCUUUAACCUGGUUGCAGACUUGGACAGAGACCCCCACCCCACAUUGUUCGUCUCAGCAACAGCCUUGACCCCCUGAGUUGCAGAGGCUGACGAUAGUAACUAUGUGCUUGAUUUUCUGUACUCUGAUGCUUUGACAUCAGGGGCCUUGCUGAUCAUAGAAGGACCGCCCCUCCCAGGGUUACCAGUUCCUGGAGAUAGUCAGGGACUGGCCCAAGCGCAUGCCUCUCCUGUACAAACCAGCCAACCCACCACCCAGGCCACCAUCCACCUGCCCUGAUCACCCGGGGCAGGGUAUUGGACAACUCAGGACAGCCCCUGUGCCCCAGAGCCUGCUGAAAUGGUGCAACCAGCCACUCUUUACCCUACCUUAUCCCACAGAAAACACAAGGAAGCCGCUUGCUCGUGGUCUACCUCCUGGGCACCCUUGGUGCGUCCCCAUGUGGCCCCUGUGGCAUGCCCCCUCCUCUGGGGAAGCUGGUAGAGGCCCCUGGAAUAAAGAAGUAGAAGAGCUGGAGGCUGAAGCCAGACCAGGAGCUGGCAGCUCACACCUGUAAUCCCAGCACUUUGGGAGGCCAAGGUGGGAGGAUUGCUUGAGGCCAGGAGUUCAAGACCAGCCUGGCCAACAUGGUGAGACCCACCCCCCGCACCCAACUCCAUCUCUAUAAAAGAUAAACAAAAAUUAGCCAGGCAUGGUAUGGUGGCGUGUGCCUGUAGUCCCAGCUACUCAAGAGACUGAGAUGGGAGGAUCACAUGAGUCCAGGAAUUUGAGGCUUCAGUGAGCUAUAAUUGUGCCUUUGCACUACAGCCUGGACAACAAAGCAAGACCCUGUCUCUAAAAAAAACAGAAAAGAGAAAAAAAUCCUGAAGCAAAAUUAAGAAACUAGAAACCAUGUUCUAGCCCCUGGAGAUGUCAGCACUUUCAUAUCUACUGAUGUAUUGGCUGCUGUGACAAGUUACCACUCAGUGGCUUAAAACGACACACAUUUAUUCCCUUACAGUUCUGGAGGUCGGAAGUCUAAAAUCAAUAUAACUGGGCCAGGCAUGGUGGCUGACACCUGUAAUCCUGUCAUUUUGGGAGGCCAAGGUGGGCAGAUCACUUGAAUCCAGGAGUUUGAGACCAGCUUGGGCAACAUGGUGAAACCCCAUCUCUACUAAAAAUACCAAAAAACUAGCCAGGUGUAGUGGCAUAUGCCUGUAGUCCCAGCCACUCAUCGCUUGAGCCCGAAGUCGAGGCUGCAGUGAGCCCUGAUUCUGUCACUCCACUCCAUCCUGGACGACAGAGUGAAACCUGAUGUUUAAAUGCAGUUUUUCAUAUAUGUACUUCUUACCAAAAUGAGAUCAUACAGAACCUGCAAUUUUGUAACCUGCGUCUUUCAGUUAACCUCCUCUUCUCCUUGGCAGUAGUGCUUUCGUCUUGUCUGAUACCCACUCCCUAUUCAAAUGUCCCUCCAUUUCUCCCCAAAGAGACUUUGUCUUGUUUUGUUUUUUGAGACAGGAUCUCACUCUGUCACACAGGCUGGUGUGCUGUGGUACGAUCUCGGCUCACUGCAACCUCUGCCUCCUGGGUUCUGAUGAUUCUCGUGCCUGAGCCUCCUGAGUAGCUGGGACUAUAGGUGCACACCACUGCACCUGGCUAAUUUUUGUAUUUUUAGUAGAGACAGGGUUUCACCAUGUUGGCCAGGCUGGUCUCAAACUCCUGACCUCAGGUGAUCCGCCCACCUCGGCCUCCACCCACAAAGAGCCUUUAUAACUUGUUUUGUCCAAGCCAAAACCCGGUCCAGGAUCACCCCUCAAAGCUGGUCUUGUGUCUCUUAACGGAUUUUUUUCAAAUAUAGCAAGGCUACUUGCUUUUGUUUUGCACUGUGGCAUGGAUUUGUUGGAGAGACGGUGCCGUUUGCUCUGCAGAAUGUGUUGCCUUCUGGAAUGUUCUGGGUAGUUCCGUGAGGUAUCGUGUUUACAAUCAAUUCUUGUUAUUCAUAGUAGUGAUGUUGUAUAACUGUGACCACUGAAUCAGCAAAUAAGGACCCAUUGCUUCAUUAAUAAAAGUAUAUAUUUUUCUAUUUAUUUAUUUAUUUUUAUUUAUUAUUAUUAUUUUGAGAUGGAGUCUCGCUCUGUUGCCCAGGCUAGAGUGCAGUGGCACAAUCUCGGCUCAAUUUAACCUCCUCCGCCUGGGGUUCAAGUGUUGCUCGUGCCUCAGCCUCCCAAGUAGCUGGGACUACAGGCGUGCACCACCAUGCCCGGCUAAUUUUUUUGUUUUUUUGUUUUUUAGUAGAGAUGGAGUUUCGCCAUGUUGGCCAGGCUGGUCUCAAACUCCUGACCUCAGGUGAUCCUCCCGCCCCGGCCUCCCAAAGUGUUGGGAAAACAGGUGUGAGCCACCGGCACCUGGCCUAUAUUUAUAUAUAUUUAAAGAGAUGGGGUCUUACAAUGUUGCCCAGGCUGGUCUUGAACUCCUGGGCUCAAGCAAUUCUACUGUCUCACUUAACCAAAGUGUUGGGAUUACAAGCAUGAGCCACCGCACCCAACCCUAUAUAUAUGUGUUUGUGUGUGUGUGUGUGUGUGUGUGUGUGUGUGUAUACACACACACAUAUAUUUCCCCAAUAAGUGUUCACAGUUGUACAACAUAACUACCAAAAAUAGCGAGACUAUAUCUGCCACAAAUAACGCAAAUAACUACCUGAGUAGCAGAUUGUGUAGUCCCCAUUUUUGUGGUAGCGAUAGAUAGGUAAAUAGGUAUCUCACAAAUGUAUCAUAUGUAUUUUAUUUUAUUUUUUUUUAGUUGUUAGUUGUGGAGACAGGAUCUCACUCUUGCCCAGGCUGGAGUGCAGUGGCGUGAUCUUGGCUCAUGGCAACCUCGACCCCCUGGGCUCAAGUGAUCCUCCCAUCUGGAGGAGGAAAUUUUGCCUGGGCCUCCUCAACUGUUCUCCUGGCCUGCAGGCUCCUGUUUUGAGAUAUUUCUAUACCCAGAACUGACCUGGUCCCUCCCCUGCUCUCAACCCUCUCAUGGCUCCCCAGCACCCUCCGGGGCAAAACCCAAACGCCUCAGUAUGGUGUUCAAGGUUGAGACUCUCCAAUCUCACACGUCCCGAUGUCACAUUCAGACACCACAUGUGGCGGGCCACACCAGGGUCUGUCUCUGCCCUAUGCCCCUGCCUGUCCCCUCUACCAGAAUGCCCUUUCCCCGUUGCCAUGGCCACCAUUCUGGUCUCUCUGACAACCCCCUCUCGGGGUUCCAGUGGCUUCUCCCCCCUCUGGCUCAGAGGCCCAGGAAAGAGAGAGAAGACCAACCAAGGGGUGGCUGGAGUCCCAAGGCCAUGAACUUUCAGGAAAAUGUGACCCUGGCCAUGGCCUUGUUCACCAUCCUGACCUCCAUCUAUUUCUUCAACAAGGCUCAGCAGUGAGAAGACACAGGACCUCCCCGCACAAGAGCCCUGCCUCUCCCUCUACCAUCGCUCUGAGGCCAAAUAAAUGUAACUGAAUCCGCA